rnacentral:tRNA from 1 species
GCCUGGGUGGCUCAGUCGGUUGAGCAUCUGACUUCCGCUCAGGUCAUGAUCUCGCGGUCUGUGAGUUCGAGCCCUACAUCAGGUU